rnacentral:lncRNA from 1 species
ACGCUGGUGUAGAAAAAUGUUUUAGCUUCAUCAUACCGUGAGGCAAAAAACGAAUAAGUUCUGUUCUCUUUAGAUAUUUGUGUUGUGACAAGUGUACUUUUAUACUAAAUAUCCGUACAUGUUUGAAAAAUAUAGGAAAGAUAAGUGUUGAAAUAUCCAAAUGCAGAAGUUUUAUUUGGUUAUUGUUACUGCACAUUAUUGUAAUAACGGGAAAAAUGCCACGUCAUCGUGGAAGAGCGCGAAAUAUUGGUAGAAGUACCCCGAACGCGUAAUUGGGCCAUGAGCAUCGAUUUAAUAGAUCAGUCGAAGAACAAUAGGCGAAUAAUAUAAAUUUAAGAAAUCAAGUUGCACUCGGGCAAAUGAAAACUCAGGGCAACCCACUCAACGACUUCGUGCUAAUAAUUUAAGGCAACGAGGGGCACGUCAACAAGCGACCAAAACACAUAGAGAACAUAACCAACGGCGUAUGUAGAAUAAUCGAGCAUUGGCACGAGCAUCACUUAAUCGUUUCUAGUUUGAAUAUGAUCCUGAAAUAAACGAUUCGUUACAUCCAUUCAUCACGAUCGGUAGUAUGGACCUUUGUCCAUGUAAUAGAUUGUCAUGCUUUUAAGAACAAAGGAGAAUCAACUGGUUUAUGUUGCGCAUCUGGGAAAAUUUCAUUGCCACCGCUCAAUAUACCACUGGAGCCUUUAAAACACUUUUAGCUCGAACCACAUAUCAAUCGAAAUUGUUUUUGUGGAAAUUCAAUUCAUGCUUCCAAAUGACGUCAUUUGGAGCAACACAAUUGUUCAUUAUGAAGAUGGUCGGAAUUUUGAAUCUACAUUCAAGAUUCAAGGUCAAGAGUUCCAUCGAAUCAGUUCAUUGCUUGUCUGAUGCCGAUCCAAAAUUUUUACAAAUUUACACACGCUGCUCUUACAACCAUAUAGAGCAGAUGUAGGAAUGAGAAAUUGUGGACAUUUUGGAAAGGUUUUUGAUUGUUCAAGACCCUUUCUAACAGACUGCAAAAUGACAAAUAUGUCAUUGUCAGUAAAGCAGACGAAGUGCCCUAUGGAAAGCACGCAGUGAUAUACUAUAUAAUGCUCCAACAGUUAAUGAAGUCGCAGUUGUUAUGGCUGUGGACUCAUGCGAACGUCGAGACAUGCGCAUAGAACGCAGAGAUAAUACGAUGCAAAUAAUUUAAGACAAUCAUGGUUCUUGCGAUGCUUUGUGGUAUCCGUUGAUAUUUUGGGAAGGAGAAGAUGGAUAUAAUUUAAAUAUAAUAUUAAACAAAGGAAUGCAACUACAGGCACAACUUAUAGAUUAUCCUACAAUACUUUUAAGUCAAUAAUUUCUGUUUAUCUCAUAAAUACAUUUAUUUGCAGGUGAAGAACUAAUGAAUACAGCCAGUGGAUAUGUAGUAACGUAUGCCACUAAUUGCUGCCCAAAUGUGCACAGAAGAGUUCUAACCACUUUAACUCAUCUUUAAUAAAAAUGCACACGGCCUAAAAUAUACAAUCAUUUAACGUUUAUUUCUAGUAUAAAUUUAUAUUUUACAAAAUUCGUUAUUAUAAAUCUCGACGGAAUAUGCGAUGAGACUUCACUUCCGAGAAAGAUUUUCCGAUGCUGCUGAUCGAGAAGCUGCGGGUCUAGGUCGCAUUGGAUAAUCGCGUUAGAGGCGUUGGAUGUUGACGCGGCAGUGUAUGAGCGAACAAAAAGUAUCUGCUUUCUCCUUGUCCAUCCUUUUUGAUGAGUCAAACAUCGCUGCGUCACCGUGCUUCUCUCACCAUCAAUUAUAUGAUGCAUGUUCCAGAUUUAGAAAACCAUCAAAUUUGUUUGUUUACACGACUCAAGGAUUGUCACCGCUUAUUGAAAAAAGUUUGAAAUUUUCGGAUUAAUGAAAUAUGGCAACUUUUCUCGUGCACAGCUGUGCUUUCGUGCUCUUAGAAAUUUGUUUAAUUUAUAUAAUACUAGAGGACGCAUCCAAGCUUCACUGUGGCUGAUAUAUAGAUAAUGCUACAACUACCAUCUAUAUGAUUUCUAUUGGUUGGAUUAUAACUACGGAGGCUACUAUAUAUAUUUCUGUGUUUAGUUUUUAAGAACUUUUUAUUUUUGUAAAAAUUUGUUUUUUU